UACAGAGGUCUCAAGCGUUGUUCGGAUUCAUUGGGCGUAAAGGGUGCGUAGGCGGCGCGGUAAGUCGGGUGUGAAAUCCCGGAGCUCAACUUCGGAACUGCCUUUGAUACAGCACAUCUGGAGUCCGGAAGAGGUGGGUGGAAUUCCUAGUGUAGAGGUGAAAUUCGUAGAUAUUAGGAAGAACACCGGUGGCGAAGGCGGCCCACUGGUCCGGUACUGACGCUGAGGUGCGAAAGCGUGGGGAGCAAACAGG
rnacentral:rRNA from 1 species